rnacentral:rRNA from 1 species
AAAUCUUACCGGGUCCGGACACACUGAGGAUUGACAGGCAAUAUUAAAAAUUAUUAUUUUAAUUUUUUAGUGGUUUUUAUUAAUUACGAAAAAUUCUAAUAUAUUUUUAUGUUAAAUAUGCUAGUCCUUUCAUGAUUAUGUGAUAGGUGGUGCAUGGCCGUUCUUAGUUCGUGGAGUGAUCUGUCUGCUUAAUUGCGUUUCACCUUAGGGCUUAUAAAUUACGUGUGUUGCGGCACUUCGACCCCUUUGUUGAAACAUACGAAGCGCGCGUCUUAGUUGCUUAGCACGCACAAUUAAGUCCUGAAAGCAACGAACGUGACCGCAACCUCUUGUUGCCUUUUGCACAAUCUCGAGUAUUCGCUAUGGGUAUAAUUUAUUGUAUUCCACUGUGUAAUAUUUUGGGAAAAAGAGGCUUUUAAACUAGAGGGACCGCUGUAACUUUUUUAAACCAGAGGAAGGUUGCGGCAAUAA